rnacentral:rRNA from 1 species
GAGUUUGAUCGUGGCUCAGAACGAACGGUGGCGGCGGGCCUAACACAUGCAAGUCGAACGCACUCUUCGGAGUGAGUGGCAGACGGGUGAGUAACGCGUGGGAACCUUCCCAAUGGUGCGGAAUAGCCCAGGGAAACUUGGGGUAAUACCGCAUACGCCCUACGGGGGAAAGAUUUAUCGCCAUUGGAUGGGCCCGCGUCGGAUUAGCUUGUUGGUGAGGUAAUGGCUCACCAAGGCAACGAUCCGUAGCUGGUUUGAGAGAAUGACCAGCCACACUGGGACUGAGACACGGCCCAGACUCCUACGGGAGGCAGCAGUGGGGAAUCUUGGACAAUGGGCGAAAGCCUGAUCCAGCCAUGCCGCGUGAGUGACGAAGGCCUUAGGGUUGUAAAGCUCUUUUGGCGGGACGAUAAUGACGGUACCCGCAGAAUAAGUCCCGGCUAACUUCGUGACAGCCGCCGCCGUAAU